GGGAGCCGUGUGCCCGAAUUGGGCUCGCACGGAUCUGUGCGGGGGGCGCGGGGUAACUCGCGUCCCUACCGCGAA
rnacentral:misc_RNA from 1 species